rnacentral:tRNA from 1 species
AGUGUAUAGUUUAAUGGGAUAAAACACCAGACAGUAAUCUGGAGUUGGCAGUUCAAAUCUGUCUGCACCACUA